rnacentral:rRNA from 1 species
UACGUAGGUGGCAAGCGUUGUCCGGAUUUAUUGGGUUUAAAGGGUGCGUAGGCGGUCCCAUAAGUCAGUGGUGAAAUACUCUAGCUUAACUAGAGGGGUGCCAUUGAUACUGCGGGACUUGAGUGGAGUUGAAGUGGGCGGAAUUGAUGGUGUAGCGGUGAAAUGCUUAGAUAUCGUCAAGAACACCGAUAGUGAAGACAGCUCACUAAGCUCAAACUGACGCUGAGGCACGAAAGUGUGGGGAUCAAACAGG